rnacentral:misc_RNA from 1 species
UCCGGUUUAACACCGGCAGUCUCUCUAGAGUUCCCAGCUUGACCUGAUGGCAACUAGAGACAAGGGUUUCGCUCGUUAAGGGACUUAACCCGACAUCUCACGGCACGAGCUGACGACAGCCAUGCAACACCUUUAUGCGUUCCACCGGUUAAGGUGUCAUUCUACUUUCAUAGAACUAAUCCGCACACUUCGAGCCCGGGUAAGGUUCUUCGCGUUGCGUCGAAUUAAACCACAUGCUCCGCUGCUUGUGCGGGCCCCCGUCAAUUCCCUUGAGUUUUAGCCUUGCGGCCGUACUCCCCAGGCGGGGUGCUUAAUGCGUUAGCUUCGGCACGGAGGGAGUCGACACCCCCCACACCUAGCACCCAUCGUUUACGGCGUGGACUAC